AAAAGAAUGGAAAAGAAGGAAUUAAUUAAUAAAUACAAUAUGUAAUCAAAAUAAUAAAUUAUUUUGAGAAUUAUUAUUUCAGAGCAGUUACAAUUACUCUUCACCAACAAAGUUUGGUAGUCGUCUUGACUCGCGGGAACCAACAGCUUUAUCUGAGGAGCCGGAUGACUACUUGGACAAGCUGGGAAUUACUGGGGAGGAUGGAGAGGAGGAGGAAGAAGCUGGUGCUGAGGCGUGGGAAAAAGAGGCGGAAAAACUGUAUGAAUGGACACAAGAGUUAUCCUUCAACGAUGAGCUCAUUGGUACACCCUAUUUACCGGUGACAACGUAGCACGAUCUUGUUCGUGGACCACAGGUGUAGAUCUGAUGAGGAAGGAAAUCAUGGUGUGAUUAUUGAGGUUGAAAUUUUUAUAUAUUUCUGAACCUCAAACAGACGAUACUGCAGAGCAUUUAUUUCUCACAGAGGUGACUUUCUUCUUUGAAAGGAACAUUAAGAAAUGUUAAAAUAUUGUUGUUCUCUAGUAAAAGAUUAGGACAUCAAGGUUUUUAAGGAACAGAAUUAUGACAAUCUAACUCUGGAGAAGGAAACAUUAUUAUGGCUGUGUCACUUUUGAUCCUUAACAACAAAGAAUUGUUGAGUAAGUUAUUUAUGUUUCCAUUAUGUGUGUCACACUCAUGAGUAACAUGUGAGUGUUUGCUUGUCUUAGACACAUUUAUUUGUCCUAUCAUAAUCAUGAAAUCACAGGUUUCAAAGUUGUAUUAUGUUUUAUAUUUAUAGAAGAAGUGCUGUGACAGGAUUAUUUUAAUUGUAUAAGAUAUUUUGAUAUAAUUCACUUUAAGUGCAAUCACCACUUUUCCUAACAUAUAUAAAAGAGCAUCAAUAUCAAGAUUCUGUAUUUUAUCAUCAGUUUCAGCUAGCUAGGUCUCCCCGAUUCCCAUUAUCACCAACUUCUGUCAACAACUAAGAUGUUCAAUCUCCUCCACACCAAAUAGAGUCCUUAUUUUAUUUUGAAAUAGAAGAAAUCUAUCUUCAAAGGCUACAUUGUUCCUAGGACAUGCCUCUCCAAUAACCUAUAAAAUGAAGAUAUUUCUCAACUCUUUUAACUAGAAUUUUAAUUGGCAUGAUCACACCAAUCCAUUUCAUUUCCAAAUUAUUUUGUCACAAUAUACCAAAGUGAAAUGUAUUAAUUAAGACCCUCAGGUCUCUACAGUGAAAUAGGCAGUAAGCCAAGGGAGAUAAUUCUGUUAGAGAGAACUGCUGCAUUAACUGGUCCUGAUGUUAUUUAACAUCCACACCCACACACACCCACACUCAGGCAUACCUAAGAAAACUUACUGAAUACACAAUUAAACACAAAGAAAAUAAGACAUAACACAUAUUGUGUUUUAAUUAUGAACAAUUCCUUCACUGUUGGAAUCAAAAUUGAGUUUCAGUACAAGUGUUUCAUAAAUUUGAACACUGUUGUAAUAUCAUCAUAGCUAUAUGAUGUAAUGUUAAGUUUAUUAAACUGUUUGUAACAUUAAGUGGACCUUUAUUUACUCAGUACAAAGGUAGUAGAUUCAGUGUAAGAUAACAUGCUAUAGAUGCAUACAACAUACUGUACACCCUGGAUAUAUUUAGCUAUUGAAAAAUAAUCACUGAUUAUGAAUCUUCUAUUGUUAUGAAAAGAAAUACCUACAAUUAAGUUACCAGAUGAUUUUUCAUUUGAAACAUAUAGACUUGAGGUACAGGGCAUUUAUAUAUUUAAGUCAUGUUGUGCUAAAUGGGUGAAUUAUAAUUUAUUUUAGCAGAUCGUACAGAUUUAACUUGGCCUUUCUCAGUAUACGCAAGGAUUUAACUGUGACUUUCAAUUUUUUGGCAGUUGAAUAAUGUUUAUCAGUGAUUAUUGAAAGUUGUAUAACUUCACCCUUAAAAUGUAGGAAUACCUCUAUGUCCACUUCAACAAAUAGGAAUACUCCUAUGGACACCGAUAACAAAUAGGAAUACCUCUAUGGGCCCCUAUAUCAAAUAUGAACACCUCUAUGGACCCCUGUAACACAUAGGAAUAACUAUAUGGGCCCCUAUAUCAAAUAGGAAUACUCCUAAGGACACAUAUAACAAAUAGGAAUACCUCUAUGGCCCCUGUAACAAAUAGGAAUAACUCUAUGGGCCCCUGUAACAAAUAGGAAUAACUCUAUGGGCCCCUGUAACAAAUAAAAAUACCUCUAUGGGCCCCUGUCACAAAUAGGAAUAACUCUAUGGGCCCCUGUAACAAAAAGGAAUACCUUUAUGGGCCCCUGUAACAAAUAAGAAUAACUUUAUGGGCCCCUGUAACAAAUAGGAAUACCUCUAUGCUCCAUGUAUCAAAUAAGAAUAACUCUAUGGGCCCCUGUAACAAAUAGGAGUACCUCUAUGGUCCAUGUUUCAAAUAAGAAUAACUCUAUGGGCCCCUGUAACAAAAAGGAAUACCUUUAUGGGCCCCUGUAACAAAUAAGAAUAACUUUAUGGGCCCCUGUAACAAAUAGGAAUACCUCUAUGCUCCAUGUAUCAAAUAAGAAUAACUCUAUGGGCCCCUGUAACAAAUAGGAGUACCUCUAUGGUCCAUGUUUCAAAUAAGAAUAACUCUAUGGGCCCCUGUAACAAAUAGAAAUACCUCUAUGGGCCCCUGUAACAAAUAGGAAAACCUCCGUGGGCCCCUGUAACAAAUAAGAAUAACUCUAUGGGCCCCUGUAACAAAUAGGAAUACCUCUAUGGUCCAUGUUUCAAAUAAGAAUAACUCUAUGGGCUCCAGUAACAAAUAGGAAUACCUCUAUGGGCCCCUGUAACAAAUAGGAAUACCUCUAUGGUCCAUGUAUCAAAUAGGAAUACCUCUAUGGUCCUUGUAUCAAAUAAGAAUACCUAUAUGGGCCCCUGUAACAAAUAGCAACAACUCUAUGGGAUACUUUAACAAGGAGGAAUACCUCAGUGGGGUGUUUUAUCAAAAAGCUUGAUCAUUCACCCUAUCUCUUUAUCACACUUCAUCGCAAAUGUCAGUUGGACGGUUUGAUAAUGUGGUAUAUAUUAUACCUCUUAUUUGAUACUCUCCAGGAAAUAUCUAAAAUAUAUUUAGUAAAGAUAACAACUUAUCAUAUGAUAUGACUAACUGUACAUUCCUUUGAGACCUAUCCCUCAAACAAUAUCAGACUCUGGUCUUGUGUAUAUCACAUCCGUUAGUCCUUAACAUAAUGACUAGGUAAUAGUUAAAAACACACGGUCUAUAUGUAUAUAUAUAAUGUAAUCAUCUAUGUCCAUAGGUGUCCUCAUAUCUACGUAUAUUGUUCCAAAAUCUGUGCCAGCCAGAUUGGCAUGUGAUGGGGUUGGUAAGUGUAUGUUAUGAGGAUAGCCAUUUGUUAGUCUCUUAUAUUCUUGUUAAUGUUGAAUUGUAAAAUAAUAACUGAUAAAAUACUUAUCUAUAUU